UACGAAGGGGACUAGCGUUGUUCGGAUUUACUGGGCGUAAAGCGCGCGUAGGCGGAUCGCUAAGUCAGGGGUGAAAUCCCAGGGCUCAACCCUGGAACUGCCUUUGAUACUGACGGUCUGGAGAUCGGGAGAGGUUGGUGGAAUUCCGAGUGUAGAGGUGAAAUUCGUAGAUAUUGGGAAGAACACCGGUGGCGAAGGCGGCUCACUGGUCCGAUACUGACGCUGAGGUGCGAAAGCGUGGGGAGCAAACAGG
rnacentral:rRNA from 1 species